rnacentral:rRNA from 1 species
GACGAACGCUGGCGGCGUGCUUAACACAUGCAAGUCGAACGGAAAGGCCCUGCUUUCGUGGGGUGCUCGAGUGGCGAACGGGUGUGUAACACGUGAAUAACCUGCUCUUGACUUUGGUAUAACUUCAGGAAACUGGGGCUAAUACCGGAUAGGAGCUCCCGGUGCAUGGUGGGGGGUGGAGAGUUUUGGCGGUUGGGGAUGGACUCGCGGCUUAUCAGCUUGUUGGUGGGGUAGUGGCUUACCAAGGCUUUGACGGGUAGCCGGCCUGAGAGGGUGACCGGCCACAUUGGGACUGAGAUCCGGCCCAGACUCCUACGGGAGGCAGCAGUGGGGAAUAUGGCACAAUGGGCGGAAGCCUGAUGCAGCAACGCCGCGUGCGGGAUGACGGCCUUCGGGUUGUAACCCGCUUUCGCCUGUGACGAAGCGUGAGUGACGGUAAUGGGUAAAGAAGCACCGGCUAACUACGUG